AGCGAACGCUGGCGGCAGGCCUAACACAUGCAAGUCGAACGAACUCUUCGGAGUUAGUGGCGGACGGGUGAGUAACACGUGGGAAUGUGCCCUUUGGUACGGAAUAACUCAGGGAAACUUGAGCUAAUACCGUAUGUGCCCUUCGGGGGAAAGAUUUAUCGCCAUUGGAGCGGCCCGCGUCUGAUUAGCUAGUUGGUGAGGUAAAGGCUCACCAAGGCUACGAUCAGUAGCUGGUCUGAGAGGAUGAUCAGCCACAUUGGGACUGAGACACGGCCCAAACUCCUACGGGAGGCAGCAGUGGGGAAUCUUGCGCAAUGGGCGAAAGCCUGACGCAGCCAUGCCGCGUGAAUGAUGAAGGUCUUAGGAUUGUAAAAUUCUUUCACCGGGGACGAUAAUGACGGUACCCGGAGAAGAAGCCCCGGCUAACUUCGUG
rnacentral:rRNA from 1 species